rnacentral:rRNA from 1 species
GAUGAACGCCUUCUACAGGCUUAACACAUGCAAGUCGAGGGGCAUCAGGAAGAAAGCUUGCUUUCUUUGCUGGCGACCGGCGCACGGGUGAGUAACACGUAUCCAACCUGCCCUUUACUCGGGGAUAGCCUUUCGAAAGAAAGAUUAAUACCCGAUAGUAUAAUGAUUCCGCAUGGUUUCCUUAUUAAAGGAUUCCGGUAAAGGAUGGGGAUGCGUUCCAUUAGGUUGUUGGUGAGGUAACGGCUCACCAAGCCUUCGAUGGAUAGGGGUUCUGAGAGGAAGGUCCCCCACAUUGGAACUGAGACACGGUCCAAACUCCUACGGGAGGCAGCAGUGAGGAAUAUUGGUCAAUGGGCGCUAGCCUGAACCAGCCAAGUAGCGUGAAGGAUGAAGGCUCUAUGGGUCGUAAACUUCUUUUAUAUAAGAAUAAAGUGCAGUAUGUAUACUGUUUUGUAUGUAUUAUAUGAAUAAGGAUCGGCUAACUCCGUGCCAGCAGCCGCGGUAAUACGGAGGAUCCGAGCGUUAUCCGGAUUUAUUGGGUUUAAAGGGAGCGUAGGUGGACUGGUAAGUCAGUUGUGAAAGUUUGCGGCUCAACCGUAAAAUUGCAGUUGAUACUGUCAGUCUUGAGUACAGUAGAGGUGGGCGGAAUUCGUGGUGUAGCGGUGAAAUGCUUAGAUAUCACGAAGAACUCCGAUUGCGAAGGCAGCUCACUGGACUGCAACUGACACUGAUGCUCGAAAGUGUGGGUAUCAAACAGG